CUGUCCUUCUCCCUGUCUGUCCCUUCCUCCCUCUCCCCGCUAUGUGAGACCACAGUGGGGAAGAGGCUGUCUACAAACCUGGAGGAAGUCUCACCAGAACCUAGAAAACAACCGUGCUGGCACCCUGAUCUCGGAUGGCCCAGCCUCCAGAAUUAGCAGAUCUUACGAAGCUAAGAUACAGCAGCCCGCUGCAGUGACACCAGCAGAUGUUGUGUUCCAAGCAGUGCCUGGACUUUGCAACCGCCUUCAUCCUGGAAGAGAAUGGCAAAGAUGUGACCAAAGGGAUGACGGAGGCCAUGACAUUUUGACUUUGGAGCAGGACAAGCUGGGUCCUUGGUUUGACGAACUUAUCACACACCUGAAGGAGGAACAGAGAACGCAGAGCAGCCGUGUGUCUCAGAGUUGCCCCCAGCCAAGCAGGGCAUGCCCCAGGGGACGCUUUGUGCUUUCGGAGGCAUGAGAUGUGCUUAGCUGCAUGGAAACAUGAGAUGACGCUUGGAUCUCCACGGAAACCAUGUUGCGUUAUGUUGUGAUCGAUGUGGAUGUGAGACAUGGAGAAACGGAGGAAAAAGGGGCCCCGAUGCAUUCAACCCUACAAAACUGGUGGUGUUUCUGAAUGUUGGUGCUGCUGAGGCUGUCUUGCUGUGAAAGAUGUUUGAUUUCUGCUGUAAAAGUCAG